rnacentral:rRNA from 1 species
GAUGAACGCUGGCGGCGUGCUUAACACAUGCAAGUCGAACGAAGCACUUUGAUUUCUUCGGAAGGAUGAGUGACUGAGUGGCGGACGGGUGAGUAACGCGUGGGUAACCUGCCUCAUACAGGGGGAUAACAGUUGGAAACGACUGCUAAUACCGCAUAAGCGCACAGUACCGCAUGGUACAGUGUGAAAAACUCCGGUGGUAUGAGAUGGACCCGCGUCUGAUUAGCUAGUUGGUGAGGUAACGGCCCACCAAGGCGACGAUCAGUAGCCGACCUGAGAGGGUGACCGGCCACAUUGGGACUGAGACACGGCCCAAACUCCUACGGGAGGCAGCAGUGGGGAAUAUUGCACAAUGGGCGAAAGCCUGAUGCAGCGACGCCGCGUGAGCGAAGAAGUAUUUCGGUAUGUAAAGCUCUAUCAGCAGGGAAGAUAAUGACGGUACCUGACUAAGAAGCCCCGGCUAACUACGUGCCAGCAGCCGCAGUAACAC